rnacentral:rRNA from 1 species
CCUACGGGAGGCAGCAGUGAGGAAUAUUGGUCAAUGGACGAGAGUCUGAACCAGCCAUGCCGCGUGAAGGAUGACUGCCCUAUGGGUUGUAAACUUCUUUUAUAUGGGAGUAACAUCUUCUACGUGUGUGCUUUUGUAUGUAUCAUACGCAUAAGGAUCGGCUAACCCCGUGCCAGCAGCCGCGGUAAUACGGAGGUUCCGAGCGUUAUCCGGAUUUAUUGGGUUUAAAGGGAGCGUAGUUGGAUUGUUAAGUCAGUUGUGAAAGUUUGCGGCUCAACCGUGGAAUUGCAGUUGAUACUGGCAGUCUAGAGUACAGUAGAGGGGGGCGGAAUUCGUGUUGUAGCGGUGAAAUGCGUAGAUAUCACGAAGAACACCGAUGGCGAAGGCAGUUCACUGGACUGCAACUGACGCUGAGGCUCGAAAGUGUGGGUAGCAAACAGGAUUAGAUACCCGAGUAGUC